GGAAAAAGAAUAUAUACAUCAACCAUUUGGGCUUCUAAUAGAUUCUAAUCAUCAGACACCGGUUCGAAGGGCAUCCAUCGUCGGUACAACUCCACUUAACGGCGUCGGGCACAGGGAGGGAAAUAAGGAAUGAUUUGCGAACGAGAAAGGAACUCCAUGGAGAGAAGAAGAACACAGUGCUAAGUUCAAGGAUGAGAUUACAACAAAGUUAAAGCAUACUGGAGCUGGCAUUAUAUCCAUGGAAAAUGCUGGUCCAAAUACCAAUGGAAGCCAAUUCUUUAUUACCUUGGCACCUACACCGUCACUACAUGGAAAACACACAAUUUUUGGAAGAGUAUGCAGAGGAAUGGAAAUUAUCAAAUGACUCGGUAGUGUUCAAACUGACAAUAAUGAUAGAAUAAGGUUCAAGAACUUCACAAGCCUUCUACAGAAGAAGGGCCAACGUCUAUCAAAGAUAAUGCAAUUGUUCAUGCGUUUGGUCUAGAACGGCGUGGUAGGGUAAGAGGGCUUGGAUUUGGAGCAUUGCCAUCGAAAGUUGAUGCACGAGCAUACCAAAAUCAAAAUAUGAGAAAACUAAAUCAAAAAUUGCUGCUCUUAGAACAAGAACUCUAUGGAUAGUUUUGAGGAUUUUGAUGGAUAGAUUUCUAUAAUUUUUGAAUAGUUUUGGGUAAUAUUUACAAACUUAUAUAUGUAUAGUUUUGGAUGGUUUAUAACUUUUUGGAUAAUUUAUAACUUCAGGAUAGUCCUUUUGGAUGUUUGAAAUGGAUAUAUUGACAAUUUUUGAAUGUUUAUAAUUUAUAGAUAUAGUUUAUUUUUCAUGGUUGAAAUAAUA